rnacentral:rRNA from 1 species
UACAGAGGGUGCAAGCGUUGUUCGGAUUUACUGGGCGUAAAGGGCGCGUAGGCGGUCAGCACAAGUCAGUUGUGAAAUCUCCGGGCUUAACCCGGAAAGGUCAACUGAUACUGUGCGACUAGAGUGCGGAAGGGGCAACUGGAAUUCUCGGUGUAGCGGUGAAAUGCGUAGAUAUCGGGAGGAACACCAGUGGCGAAGGCGGUUGCCUGGGGCUUUGCUGACGCUGAUGCGCGAAAGCGUGGGGAGCGAUCCGG